rnacentral:tRNA from 1 species
ACCCAGCUGGCUCAAUUGGUAGAGCAGGUGACUUUUGACCUUAGAAUCAUGAGUUUACAUCCCAUGUUGGGUG